rnacentral:rRNA from 1 species
GCGUAAUAGCUCACUAGUCGAGUGACACUGCGCCGAAAAUGUACCGGGGCUAAACAUAUUACCGAAGCUGUGGAUUGUCCGUAGGACAAUGGUAGGAGAGCGUUCUAAGGGCGUUGAAGCAUGAUCGCAAGGACAUGUGGAGCGCUUAGAAGUGAGAAUGCCGGUGUGAGUAGCGAAAGACGGGUGAGAAUCCCGUCCACCGAUUGACUAAGGUUUCCAGAGGAAGGCUCGUCCGCUCUGGGUUAGUCGGGUCCUAAGCUGAGGCCGACAGGCGUAGGCGAUGGAUAACAGGUUGAUAUUCCUGUACCACCUAGCAUCGUUUUAAUCGAUGGGGGGACGCAGUAGGAUAGGCGAAGCGUACGAUUGGAUUGUACGUCUAAGCAGUGAGAUUGAGUGUUAGGCAAAUCCGGCACUCUUAAGAUUGAGCUGUGAUGGGGAGAGGAAAUUGUUUCCUCGAGUCGUUGAUUUCACACUGCCGAGAAAAGCCUCUAGAUAGAUAAUAGGUGCCCGUACCGCAAACCGACACAGGUAGUCAAGAUGAGAAUUCUAAGGUGAGCGAGCGAACUCUCGUUAAGGAACUCGGCAAAAUGACCCCGUAACUUCGGGAGAAGGGGUGCUCUUUAGGGUGC